CUAACUGGAGGACCGAACCGACUAAUGUUGAAAAAUUAGCGGAUGACUUGUGGCUGGGGGUGAAAGGCCAAUCAAACCGGGAGAUAGCUGGUUCUCCCCGAAAGCUAUUUAGGUAGCGCCUCGUGAAUUCAUCUUCGGGGGUAGAGCACUGUUUCGGCUAGGGGGCCAUCCCGGCUUACCAACCCGAUGCAAACUACGAAUACCGAAGAAUGUUAUCACGGGAGACACACGGCGGGUGCUAACGUCCGUCGUGAAGAGGGAAACAACCCAGACCGCCAGCUAAGGUCCCAAAGUCAUGGUUAAGUGGGAAACGAUGUGGGAAGGCACAGACAGCCAGGAUGUUGGCUUAGAAGCAGCCAUCAUUUAAAGAAAGCGUAAUAGCUCACUGGUCGAGUCGGCCUGCGCGGAAGAUGUAACGGGGCUAAACCAUGCACCGAAGCUGCGGCAGCGACACUAUGUGUUGUUGGGUAGGGGAGCGUUCUGUAAGCCGUUGAAGGUGUGCUGUGAGGCAUGCUGGAGGUAUCAGAAGUGCGAAUGCUGACAUAAGUAACGAUAAAGCGGGUGAAAAGCCCGCUCGCCGGAAGACCAAGGGUUCCUGUCCAACGUUAAUCGGGGCAGGGUGAGUCGACCCCUAAGGCGAGGCCGAAAGGCGUAGUCGAUGGGAAACAGGUUAAUAUUCCUGUACUUGGUGUUACUGCGAAGGGGGGACGGAGAAGGCUAUGUUAGCCGGGCGACGGUUGUCCCGGUUUAAGCAUGUAGGCGGAGGUUCCAGGUAAAUCCGGUACCUUUUAACGCUGAGGUGUGAUGACGAGGCACUACGGUGCUGAAGUAACAAAUGCCCUGCUUCCAGGAAAAGCCUCUAAGCAUCAGGUAACA
rnacentral:rRNA from 1 species